CUCUAUAAGUUUUACAUUCGUACUUACAAUAUGUAUUUUGACAAGCGCAUUGUUUAAGACAACGAAUGGCACGGAUGAUCCAACUACUUUCGUUUAUGAAAUUGUAGAAAAAUUUCGACCAAGAUUUGAGAUAGCCCACAUGUCAAGGCACUCGGUCCGCAGUAAUAUAUUAUGGACAUUUGCGGAAAGCAAUUCAGAUGACAGUAGCGACGACGAAGUUGGAGAUCUCUUCGAUGUCUGAGGACUGAUAGCAAUGAUACUUUAUAUGCAAUUAUUCCAAAUAAAUCCAAUAAAAUUAUGCAUCUUG